AUUGAACGCUGGCGGCAGGCCUAACACAUGCAAGUCGAACGAGUGGCGGACGGGUGAGUAAUGUCUGGGAAACUGCCCGAUGGAGGGGGAUAACUACUGGAAACGGUAGCUAAUACCGCCUACCAUCGGAUGUGCCCAGAUGGGCUUAGCUAGUAGGUGGGGUAACGGCUCACCUAGGCGACGAUCCCUAGCUGGUCUGAGAGGAUGACCAGCCACCCUGGAACUGAGACACGGUCCAGAAUCCUACGGGAGUCAGAAGUGGGGAAUAUUGAACAAUGGGCGCAAGCCUGAUGCAGCCAUGCCGCGUGUAUGAAGAAGGCCUUCGGGUUGUAAAGUACUUUCAGCGAGGAGGCGUUACUCGCAGAAGAAGCACCGGCUAACUCCGUGCCAGCAGCCGCGGUAAUAC
rnacentral:rRNA from 1 species